GAUGAAGAACGCAGCGAAAUGCGAUAAGUAAUGUGAAUUGUAGAAUUCAGUGAAUCAUCGAAUCUUUGAACGCACAUUGCGCCCCUUGGUAUUCCGGGGGGCAUGCCUGUUCGAGCGUCAUUACAACCCUCAAGCUCUGCUUGGUCUUGGGCGUCACCGGUCCCCGGUGUGCCUUAAAAUCAGUGGCGGCGCCAUCUGGCUCUAAGCGUAGUACAUACUCUCGCUACAGACGUCCGGUGGAUGCUGGCCAGCAACCCCCAAUUUAUCAAGGUUGACCUCGGAUCAGGUAGGGAUACCCGCUGAACUUAAGCAUAUCAAUAAGCGGAGGA
rnacentral:misc_RNA from 1 species